UACGUAGGGGGCAAGCGUUGUCCGGAUUUAUUGGGCGUAAAGAGCGUGUAGGCGGCCAUGUAGGUCCGUUGUGAAAACUCGAGGCUCAACCUCGAGACGCCGAUGGAAACCAUGUGGCUAGAGUCCGGAAGAGGAGAGUGGAAUUCCUGGCGUAGUCGGUGAAAUGCGCAGAUAUCAGGAAGAACACCCGUGGCUAAGGCGGCUCUCUAGUACGGUACUGACGCUGAGACGCGAAAGCGUGGGGAGCGAACAGGG
rnacentral:rRNA from 1 species